rfam:Atopostipes suicloacalis DSM 15692 genome assembly, contig: EJ15DRAFT_scaffold00010.10
GGAGGGAUAGCGAAGUGGCCAAACGCAACGGACUGUAAAUCCGUCCUCUUUCGAGUUCGAAGGUUCAAAUCCUUCUCCCUCCA